rnacentral:rRNA from 1 species
AUUGAACGCUGGCGGCAUGCCUUACACAUGCAAGUCGAACGGCAGCACGGGAGCAAUCCUGGUGGCGAGUGGCGAACGGGUGAGUAAUACAUCGGAACGUGCCCAGUAGUGGGGGAUAGCCCGGCGAAAGCCGGAUUAAUACCGCAUACGACCUACGGGUGAAAGCGGGGGAUCGCAAGACCUCGCGCUAUUGGAGCGGCCGAUGUCAGAUUAGCUAGUUGGUGGGGUAAAGGCCUACCAAGGCGACGAUCUGUAGCUGGUCUGAGAGGACGACCAGCCACACUGGGACUGAGACACGGCCCAGACUCCUACGGGAGGCAGCAGUGGGGAAUUUUGGACAAUGGGCGCAAGCCUGAUCCAGCCAUGCCGCGUGUGGGAAGAAGGCCUUCGGGUUGUAAACCACUUUUGUCAGGGAAGAAACGGCUCUUACUAAUAUUAGGAGCUAAUGACGGUACCUGAAGAAUAAGCACCGGCUAACUACGUGCCAGCAGCCGCGGUAA